GCCUCGGCCCACCAAAAAACACAAGGGAGGGCGGAUGGACCCACAGCCAGUGUUACCUCAUCGGAGGGAAGGGAUGCCAGAUGAUCUUCCCCCACCACCAGAUCCCCCACCAGGUCAGGGUUUAAGGCAGCAGAUAGGCCUGAGCCAACACUCUGGUAACGUGGAAAGCUCAACAGAGAGGAAAGGAAGCUCUCUAGAGAGACAACAAGCAGCCAACUUAGAAGACACAAAGAGCUCAUUGGAUUGUCCGGCUAAAACUACUGUAGAGUGGCAGCAUCAAACCCAGGACUGGAUAAACUCUACAGAGCGCCAAGAAGAAACACGGAAAGCCCCACACAAACCAGGGGUUGGAUCAGAGGAGUCCCUGGUGCCCUACAGCAAGCCCAGCUUCCCAUCUCCAGGCGGGCACAGCUCAUCCGGAACAGCCUCCUCUAAAGGGUCCACUGGUCCUCGGAAGGCUGAGAUUCUGAGGGGCAGCCACCAGCGGAAUGCCAAUGACCUUCUCGACAUUGGAUAUGUGGGCUCAAAUAGUCAAGGGCAGUUUACAGGUGAAUUGUAGUAACUGAGAGGAGACAUACAAAGACGCUCUGAGGACCAUCAGGUCCAAACUCAUGGAAGUGAUGACAUUUAACAGUGCAAUGAACAAUUUCUUUAUUUAUGUACUAUUAAAAAAUACUGUAAAUGCAAUGUAAAGACACAGCCACACAUAUCCCACAGUUCUUUUCUUGUGUCCUUCUCUUACUUACACCACCCACCUUAACUCUUUCUUGUCAGGAGUAUAUAAGAAAAAGAAAGAAAGCAAAACUCGCCCUCCAGGAAGAAAAGGAUUUUCCUCUGUACAUAAUUUCUUUGGUGCAUUGCUAUGCAAGCUCACUCUUUUUAACUCUGUUCGUAUUAUUGUCUGUUCUUAUUGGUCUGUUGUACUAUAUGUGAAUUAAUGGGCUGUGGUACCAUAUAUUAACUUUUAAUUGUGUAACUUUUUAUGUUUAAAUUUUGCACUGCAAUUUUAUUUGGUGAUAAGCACAAAUCUCUCCUCCUCAUAACAUGAAGAAAAGAUUGAAUGUGAAGGGAGUGUUCUGUACUGUAAGCUAGGUGGACAAUGCUGGUGUGACCAAUCCUGUUAGACGGUUUUCAGUUGGGGGUGUAGAAAUAGGAAGAUGCGAAGGAAUGAUGGGUGUUGGCAAAGUCUUCUUGAACCAUCAGAUACUGAGUCAAUUUUAAGAAGCAGAAAGAUGGAUGCUAUUGACUAUAGCAGGGGUCAAAAGAAGGGGCUUUGAGUCUAGACAGAAUAUGUAAGAAAGUAUGGCGGUGGCAAAGAUGUACUAACUUGCUUUAAAAAUCUUAUUAAAGUUUUAUUUAGAAUGAACUUCACUGGCCAUUGUAAUUAACCCAUCUUAGAAUUACAAUGAGCAAAAUAAAAUCAAGGUGGUUCAAGAGAUCUGUAUUUAUAUAUUCCAGCUUUAAAAAAAAACAGCAGUUUUGAAUUACCAUAAUUAAUCUCUCCAACUCAUUAAGUCAGACUAUAACAUAGAGUUCCCCAAGGAAACAAAGAAAAUGAACUCCAGAGAUUCCAGCAAAUAGUUAAAGGAGCCACUUAUUGUCAGGGCACACUCGGCUGCUCUGGACUAUAAGCUCAGUUGUAGUAUUGUGUUCGUCUUUCUAAUACACAUACAGUACAUAAUAGAGGAUGUAGUCACAUCACUUCGGUUCAUUUCUUUGCUUUUUUUAAAAGCAAACCAAUGCAUUCUACAUACAAUUUUGUGUUUCUUCUGAUGAAAACGUGAAACCAAUGCUACCACAUGUAUAGCUGAGUUAUCAGUGCCUAAGGGCAGUGCUCGCAGUGUGUUCAGUUUCUGGUUAGUUGAUUUACUGGGCUCAAUAUUUUCUGGUACAGUCUCAGAAAUUGGCCACCAACUAAAACCUGUUUGACCCAUUUUGAAUGAGUAAAUCGGAAAGAACAGUCAAAAGGGAGAAAAAAAAUGCAUGUUUAUACACUUUUUAAAUAAAACCAAAUCUUGUACGUGGACAUU
rnacentral:lncRNA from 1 species